UUUGGUUCUGGAGCCAUUGGCCUUGCCCAAGAUGUGUUCUUGGCUGCUCCUGUCCCUGUCAGGCCCUCUCUGUUUUUACCCUGUUCUUAAGAGUAUGUGGCUCACAUGGAAACACACAGUAUCCUAAUAGUUUGUUUUUUGUUGCUGUGAGAAAACACUGAUGAAAAGCAGCUUGAGGAGGAAAAUGGUUUAUUCCGUGAUGGGGAAAUCCUUGUGUGUAUAUGUUUAUCUUAUUGGUUGAUAAAUAAAGCAUUGUUGGCCAAUAGGGGAGCAAGUUAGGUGGGACUAGGAGUUGAGGAGGAUUCUGGGAAAUGUAGUAGAGACAGCAGCCACCACGUGAUCACCAGGAAGACAGGAUAUAUUCCACCAGCGUGCUCAAUAAGAUAAGUUUAUAAAAUAUAUAGAUUAAUAGUUAUGGGUGAUACUUAAGACAGAGUUAGCAAAUAAAUCUUUGUCAUUGGCCAGAGGCACUGUACCUAAUAUAAGACUCAGUGUGUUAUUCUGGACGCCCACGUGGCGGCGGGGCUCGGGUGACGUAGCAGAAAGAUUUAUCAUUACCAAAUGGUGUCAGGACAUGGUUUUAUGAACUUCCACAUAAAAACUUCACAAAAACUUAAAAAGGGAAUUUAGAAGCAAAGGAACAGAGACAAGCACUACUUCUUGGUAGUGGUAUUUUCUCGGGUAGUCUCUGUUUUGCUAGAGACAAGCAGAUACUCAAGUGGCUCCUUUAAGAGAGGCUUCCUGACUCAGCAUAAUUGGAAAAAAAAGAAAACAAAAACAAAAAACCACAGGGCUCUUGCUAACAAUUGAAUGGUAUGUAUGAGCAGCUGGCAGUGGCAGCAACCACAUCUCCAAGCCGAAAGCGUGUUCCUUGAUGACAGCAUAGACCAAGGCAGUGAGCAUAGCUCUCAGUGCUGGCGGUAAACAUACCUUCGCCAUCUUGGAAAGACAUCCACUAAAGCAGCCACUGCUUUAAUUUUAGCAAUGCUGUUUAGCAGAUAAAAGAUCGUGUAGCCAGAAAAAGGUAAAGAUUUACAGUAAAGACAGAUUCAGAUGAAGAAAAACUCCUAAAGGUUUACAGUGUAUUUAAAAAUAUAUGUAGGCUUGUGAGAGAAAAGAACAGGAUAAAGUAAUUGAGAGAGAGAGAGAGAGAGAGAGAGAAGAGAGAGAGAGAGAGAAAGAGAAGCCAGUGGUGGUGGCACACGCCAGUAGGAUUUGCUGAAGGAAGCAGAGGCAGGCGGAUUUCCACGGAGAAACCUUGUCUCAGGGGGGGGAAAAAAAGGAAGUAAAAGAAAUAGAAUAUUAAAAAGCCAGAGGGCCCAAGUUCGAGUCCCAGCACCCACAUGGUGGCUCAAAACUGUCUGCAACUCCAGUUCCAAGGGAUCCAGUGCCCUCCCCUGACCUCUGUGAGCAGCAGCUUGGUCCUUUCCUGCAGCCUUCCUGCCAGAGCACAUCCAUCAUCCGCAAACAUCUCAUCGCUCUCCCGCCACAGGAAGCGACCUGUGUCCUGUUGCCCCUCAGCCAAAGCACCUGCCAGGCUGCAUUAGGAGAGAGAUACCGCAGCACUUGUAACUUCUGGGAGAACAAAAAGAACUACAGCCUGCUCCAAAUGUUCAUUCAACUGUUAG
ensembl:lncRNA